GACUGCUGUUGUAGUGGUUUGAGCAUUAGACUAUUAUGACUCUGGAGACCAGGGUUCAAAUCCCUGUUCAGCCA